UGGGGAAUAUUGCACAAUGGAGGGAACUCUGAUGCAGCGACGCCGCGUGAACGAAGAAGGCUUUCGAGUCGUAAAGUUCUUUUAUAUGGGAAGAUAAUGACGGUACCAUAAGAAAAAGCCCCGGCUAACUACGUGCCAGCAGCCGCGGUAAUACGUAGGGGGCUAGCGUUGUCCGGAAUCACUGGGCGUAAAGGGUUCGCAGGCGGAAAUGCAAGUCAGGUGUAAAAGGCAGUAGCUUAACUACUGUAAGCAUUUGAAACUGCAUAUCUUGAGAAGAGUAGAGGUAAGUGGAAUUUUUAGUGUAGCGGUGAAAUGCGUAGAUAUUAAAAAGAAUACCGGUGGCGAAGGCGACUUACUGGGCUCAUUCUGACGCUGAGGAACCAAAGCGUGGGUAGCAAACAGG
rnacentral:rRNA from 1 species